GUUUUCUGAAGAUGGGAAAAGCCCUUUGGACAAGAUAUAAAUGAAUGUACCAUUGACAAUGGUGGCUGUCAAGAUCGAUGCUGUAAUACAGUUGGCAGUUAUUACUGCAAAUGUCAAGCUGGCCAGAAGCUGGAGGAAGAUGGCAAAGGAUGUGAAGAUGUCGAUGAACGUGCAGUGGUGAAUGGAGGCUGCCAGCAGCGCUGUAUUAACACUCUGGGCACCUUCCACUGUGAAUGUGAUACGGGAUAGAGACUGCAUGCUGAUGAACGCACCUGCAUAAAAAUGGACCCCUGCACAGGUGGGAAUGGAUGUGUUCACAUAUGUCAGAGUGAGAAUGGCACGGCCAGGUGUGCCUGUCAUGCAGGGUACCAGCUGCCUGAAGAUAAAAACAUUUGUGAAGAUAUAAAUGAGUGUGCUGAAGGUCUUUCUUACUGUGGCCACUGCUGUGUAAACUCUAUGGGAUCUUUCACUUGUGCCUGCCAAACUGGCUUUGAGCUGGGAGCUGAUAGAAAACAAUGUUACAGUAAUUGGCAACAGUCACAGCCCAGGGAUUGAAUUGGAAAUUGUCAAUAGCUGUGAAAAGAACAAUAGUGUUUGUUCCCAUCACCGUGAACAUGAAAUUGGUGCUCCCCGUUGUUCCUGUAACCAUGGACACCAGCUUGAUUCUGAUGAGAAAACAUGCAUAGAUCUUGACGAAUGUGAGAAUGGAGAAGCCUGCUGUGCCCAGCUCUGCAUCAACUAU
ensembl:lncRNA novel transcript